CGUGACAAGCACCAAAGAAAAAAGUAACAUUAAUGAGUUUCUGCUCAGCCGGACGCAAAUGUCACCGACCCGUCAGCUGCUGCUCCACAUGCAGGCGUCAGAGCGCUGGGCGGUGCGGCGACGCGUUCAAGGACUUUUAUUCUGACUUAUUCCCUUCCACACGCACCACGGUCAGUGCUGAAUAUUUCCCCCGGCAGCCGGGGGGCGCUCCAUGCUGCAGCUGGUGGUGGUGGGGGGGAGGCCUGUUUUUUUAAAAAAACGUUUGUUUUUUAAUGGAAUAAGUGUCUAAUAAAGUAUUUUUUUGC